rnacentral:Y_RNA from 1 species
AGCUGGUCCGAGUACAGUGGUGUUUACAACUAAUUGAGCACAACCAGUCACAGAUUUGUCACUUCUCACUCCCUCUGCUUCACUUGACUAGACUUUUA